rnacentral:misc_RNA from 1 species
AUGAGACAUAAAGAAUUAAGUGGGGGAGUGUGCAGAUGAUUGAACAAAUCCAUCAAAAGUGAGAACUCGCUAAAAUGCAAUGCCACGGCAACAACAGCGGUAGUCGAUAGGGUUAUCGACUGUCUAAGCGGGGGAGAAUGUCACAAGGAAGAAUAUGGCACUUUUGUCAUUGAUCGAGUGGGACAACCAUGCCAUAAUCCUAGUAUGAGGAUGAUGCGAAAAGGGGUAUGAAAACAUACACAAGUUCCCAUGAAGAUACAUAAGGGAAUUCGGAGAUCAAUA